AACGAACGCUGGCGGCAUGCCUAACACAUGCAAGUCGAACGAGACCUUCGGGUCUAGUGGCGCACGGGUGCGUAACGCGUGGGAACCUGCCCUUAGGUUCGGAAUAACUCCCCGAAAGGGGUGCUAAUACCGGAUAAUGUCUUCGGACCAAAGAUUUAUCGCCUUUGGAUGGGCCCGCGUUGGAUUAGCUAGUUGGUAGGGUAAAAGCCUACCAAGGAGACGAUCCAUAGCUGGUCUGAGAGGAUGAUCAGUCACACUGGGACUGAGACACGGCCCAGACUCCUACGGGAGGCAGCAGUGGGGAAUAUUGGACGAUGGGCGAAAGCCUGAUCCAGCAAUGCCGCGUGAGUGAUGAAGGCCUUAGGGUUGUAAAGCUCUUUUACCCGGGAUGAUAAUGACAGUACCGGGAGAAUAAGCUCCGGCUAACUCCGUG
rnacentral:rRNA from 1 species